rnacentral:rRNA from 1 species
CACGUAGGGCGCGAGCGUUGUCCGGAAUUAUUGGGCGUAAAGAGCUCGUAGGCGGCCUGUUGCGUCCGCUGUGAAAGCCCGGGGCUUAACCCCGGGUCGGCAGUGGAUACGGGCAGGCUAGAGGUAGGUAGGGGAGAAUGGAAUUCCCGGUGUAGCGGUGAAAUGCGCAGAUAUCGGGAGGAACACCGGUGGCGAAGGUGGUUCUCUGGGCCUUACCUGACGCUGAGGAGCGAAAGCGUGGGGAGCGAACAGG